rnacentral:rRNA from 1 species
GUUACAUGGCUUGGAAAUUAAUAAAUUGAAAAUAAAACUUGAAGCAUCAAAAAAUUAAGUAAUGGAGAAAGAAAAUUAAUUUUUAAGUUUAAAAGUUCUGUAAAGGAAAAAGUCAAAUAUAAAAAAAUCAGUUUAGUUUACGUACUUUUUGCAUCACGGCUUAGCAAGAGCUAACCUAAGGUUUUAGAUUCUCGAAAGUUAGUCGAGCUAUUUUUUUCUAGGAGAAUUAGGCCCAGAAAAGUUAAAACAAAAUACUAAAAAUGUAGCAAAAUUUUAGCAAAAGAAAAAAAUAGAAAUGAAAUUUUAUUCGCGCUAUCGAUAGCUAGUUUUCUUGGAAACGUAUAGAAGUACGGCAGUAAGGUUAGACAACCAAAAAUAUCAAAAUUUGUAGUCUGUCUUAUAGAUAAUUUUUUUAAGGAUAAGCUUAAAAAUAUAUAGUAGUAAAUAUUUUUAAAGUUUGUGAUGUGAGCCUGAAAUUAGCUAACACUUAAAACUUGUUAUAAAGUAGCAUCAAAAGAUAAUAAAAUAGAUAUAUUUUUACUCUAGUUUUUACAAGAAUAAAAAAUAAAACUACUUAAUUUAUUAACUUAUGCUAAGAUGAGUAUUAAAAUUCUGAAUAUAUUUAAGGAACUAAAUAAUUUUAAUUCUUAUUAACUUAAAUUUUGAUUUAAAUCAAAUAAAAAAAAGGAACUCGGCAAAAUAAAUUGCUUCGCCUGUUUAUCAAAAACAUGGCUCUUCGUGAUAAAAGAAUGAAGAGUCGGACCUGCCCAGUGAAAAUUUUUAACGGCCGCGGUACUCUGACCGUGCAAAGGUAGCAUAAUCAUUUGCCUUAUAAUUGAAGGCUUGUAUGAAUGGUUUAACGAGAGCAAUACUGUCUCUUUUUUAAUUAAUAGAAUUUGACUUUUAGGUGAAGAGGCCUAAAUAAAAUUGAAGGACAAGAAGACCCUGUCGAGCUUAAAAGAAAAGUAAAAAACAAACUAUAGCUAUAAAUGUAUAAUUACUCAAGCUUUUUGGUUGGGGCGACUAAGGAACAAGAAAAGCUUCUUUAUGUGUAUUAGCUUGUGAGCAAUGAUCCAGUAAAUCUGAUUAAAAGAAUUAGUUACCGCAGGGAUAACAGCAUAAUCUCUCUUGAGAGACCUAAUCGAAAGAGGGGGUUGUGACCUCGAUGUUGGACUAGAAUAUCCUAAAGAUGCAGAAGUCUUUGAAGGUUGGUCUGUUCGACCAUUAAAAUUCUACAUGAUCUGAGUUC